UGGGGAAUUUUGCGCAAUGGGCUAACGCCUGACGCAGCAACGCCGCGUGGAGGAUGAAGGUCUUUGGAUUGUAAACUCCUGUCAGCGGGGAAAAAGCAACUCGACCUCAUACGUCGGGGAGUUGAUUGUACCCGCAGAGGAAGCCCCGGCUAACUCUGUGCCAGCAGCCGCGGUAAUACAGAGGGGGCAAGCGUUAUUCGGAAUUAUUGGGCGUAAAGGGCGCGUAGGCGGCUUGGCAAGUGGAAGGUGAAAUCCCUCGGCUUAACCGAGGAACUGCCCUCCAAACUGCUUUGCUUGAGGCCGGGAGAGGUGAGUGGAAUUCCCAGUGUAGCGGUGAAAUGCGUAGAUAUUGGGAGGAACACCAGUGGCGAAGGCGGCUCACUGGACCGGUUCUGACGCUGAGGCGCGAAAGCGUGGGGAGCAAACGGGAUUAGAUACCCCCGUAGUCC
rnacentral:rRNA from 1 species